rnacentral:rRNA from 1 species
UACAGAGGUCUCAAGCGUUGUUCGGAUUCAUUGGGCGUAAAGGGUGCGUAGGUGGCGCGGUAAGUCGGGUGUGAAAUUUCGGAGCUUAACUCCGAAACUGCAUUCGAUACUGCCGUGCUUGAGGACUGGAGAGGACACUGGAAUUUACGGUGUAGCAGUGAAAUGCGUAGAGAUCGUAAGGAAGACCAGUGGCGAAGGCGGGUCUCUGGACAGUUCCUGACACUGAGGCACGAAGGCCAGGGGAGCAAACGGG